rnacentral:lncRNA from 1 species
ACAAAUACCUUCGACAUGGGUGCUUAAAAAUCAACAAAUUCAGAAUUAAGGGCAUUACAGACAUUUCUCAUUAGCUAAAUGCGUGUCCUUUCAGUAGAAGUUGUAGUUUGAUAUUUACUCGUACUCUACUUACGUGUCCUCUUUGUUAUAAUCAUGCCUCUCCACUUUCCCCAAAGCCUACAAUUUCAUUUUUCCUUUUUUGUCUCUAUUUUCCUCUCAUGGUCGAUCAGUUUCUUUCUUCGGAUAUAGAUAAAUAUAUCGCUUAUCAGUACCUGGUAUCUCUCUCUCUGUCCCUCUGUGCUUUUGCCUUUUGCAAUGGAAUUUGUCGUUGUUUCUAUUUCUUAAACCUAAAGUUUCACUGAUUUCAUAUCAAUUUAAAUUCAGUUUCUUUUAUGCACAAUUGUUGGUUAAGUUGUGUCGUUUUUCUCAAUUUUGUUAACGGGUUGUACUUAAUGGGUUUAUGAAAUAUGUUAAUGGGUUUAACAAUGAAAUUUAUAAUUUGUAUUUUGCAGACUUACUGGGAGAAACAAGUAUGAAAUGAAGGGAAAAUUUACAAAGUAGUGCAAAUAUUAGUAGGUGCAUCUAGAAUUGGUGCCUUAAAAACCUGAUGUUGAUAUGGAACAGUGCUUUUCUGAUGUUAUACUAAACAAAACAAUCAAUUCAUAUAAGUUGUUAUAUCUUACAGUGUGCUCUCAGGAUGUAUGAGAACACAUUUUAAUCCACUAUUAGUUGUAUCUGUUAUUACUAUUUGACAACAAAUA